rnacentral:rRNA from 1 species
UAGGGAAUAUUGCAAAAUGGGCGAAAGCCCGAUGCAGCAACGCCGCGUGGGCGAUGAAGGCCUUCGGGUCGUAAAGCCCUUUUUGAGGGGAUGAGGAAGGACAGUACCCUCAGAAUAAGCCUCGGCUAACUACGUGCCAGCAGCCGCGGUAAAACGUAGGAGGCGAGCGUUAUCCGGAUUUACUGGGCGUAAAGCGCGUGCAGGCGGAUUGGAGAGUUGGAUGUGAAAGCUCCCGGCUUAACUGGGAGAGGUCGUUCAAUACUUCCAGUCUUGAGUGCAAUAGAGGGAAGUGGAAUUCCGGGUGUAGUGGUGAAAUGCGUAGAUAUCCGGAGGAACACCAGUGCCGAAAGCGGCUUCCUGGACUGUAACUGACGCUCAGACGCGAAAGCUAGGGUAACAAACG